UGUGGGCUGCAGGGGCUGCUGGGAGCUUUGGUUCCUCUGCUAGAAACCACGUGGCCCUGGUCUGAUCUCUCAGCUCGUCCUUGUUUGGCCUCAGCUGCAUCAGAGCGCCACUUCUCCCCAGGUUCACCAGAGGAAACUCCACUGCACACAAUGCUUUUCCUCCCAGCUGCUGCUCUGUGCUGGCUGGGUUCAGCGCUGGCUGCCAUGGCAACACAGCUGGUUCAGGACCAUUUAACUCUGACCAGGAGAACCGGGCAGAGCGUCUCCUUCAGCUGUGGAGGAACUGAUCAGUGUGGUGGUUAUCCUGUAACCUGGUACCAGAAGAAAGAAACAGAAACAUUCAGAGCUAUUCUCUAUAUCACCUUUGGUGGUAGAACAGAUAAACCUUUCAAUCAUCCUCAGCAAGACGAUUUCUCAGCAGAAAGAAAUGAUAACAGCUGUAAACUGAAGAUCAACAAAGUUAAACUGGAUCAUUCAGCCUCCUACUACUGCGGCUGUUGGAAGUCUGAUUCCCACAGUGAGAAAUGAUUCCUUCAGCCUGAACAAAAACCUCCAGAUGAUCAGAUGUCAGUUUGUGACAUAGAGAGCAGUAAACCACAGCCCAGGUUCACUGAUUUCACCUCCAUCUCACACAGAGACUCUCUGAGUUUUAGUCUUUAAUGUUUCAUCAUUUUGUUAGAAUCCACUGUGAAGGUUUCUGGUGUCUUUAGUGUUUAUUUGCUUCUUUCAAAAGAAUUUGGAUGUUGGAGGCGUAAUGAUUGACAAAAAAUACUAAAAUUUUGCAAGUGCAUCAGGUUUCCAUGAAAUUUGAGUGUUUUAAUGGUUUCAGAAAAGUUGCAACUGAAAUGACCAACAGCGCCCCCUGGAAACGUUUAAAACCACUGACUCACCAGCUUACUUUAUCAUACAGACAUGAAGUUUGGAAAACUUGUAGAACUUCCCAAGAAUUACAGAAAGUUUCCUCCACCAUGCUCUAUGACUAACAGGAAGUCGGCCAUCUUGGAUUGUACUAGUGAUAUUAACCUAAUUUUGUCUAUUUGUUGCUUCUGUUUUUGAUCAAAUUUUUAGAAGUUUUGAUC